rnacentral:rRNA from 1 species
UGGGGAAUUUUGGACAAUGGGCGAAAGCCUGAUCCAGCAAUGCCGCGUGUGUGAAGAAGGCCUUCGGGUUGUAAAGCACUUUUGUCCGGAAAGAAAUCCUUGGCUCUAAUACAGUCGGGGGAUGACGGUACCGGAAGAAUAAGCACCGGCUAACUACGUGCCAGCAGCCGCGGUAAUACGUAGGGUGCAAGCGUUAGUCGGAAUUACUGGGCGUAAAGCGUGCGCAGGCGGUUUGCUAAGACCGAUGUGAAAUCCCGGGCUCAACCUGGGAACUGCAUUGGUGACUGGCAGGCUAGAGUAUGGCAGAGGGGGGUAGAAUUCCACGUGUAGCAGUGAAAUGCGUAGAGAUGUGGAGGAAUACCGAUGGCGAAGGCAGCCCCCUGGGCCAAUACUGACGCUCAUGCACGAAAGCGUGGGGAGCAAACAGGAUUAGAUACCCUGGUAGUCCACGCCCUAAACGAUGUCAACUAGUUGUUGGGGAUUCAUUCCUUAGUAACGUAGCUAACGCGUGAAGUUGACCGCCUGGGGAGUACGGUCGCAAGAUUAAAACUCAAAGGAAUUGAC